UCUCAUAAAUGCCUCACUGUUAGUAUUACUUGUUUUAUUCCUGUGUAUUUUACGGGUAUUUAUUUAUUUAUUUAAUUUAUUGGGCUUUGUUAUUUUAUCCCAUUCUUAUAGAUUGUAGCCUUCUGUGAGAUCCUCUGGACUCCUGCACAGGAAGCGAAGAGUAAAAGUGGCCAAACACACAAGGAACUGGCUUUUGGAUCAAAUGACACUCGGGAGACUUUCAAGCUCUGAAUUGUUGCCAUUGCUGGCUGAAGCCAACUCAUCAGAACAGAUUGUAACAAUAACUAUUUUUAAAGACUAAUAAAGGUUUUGAUGGUUUUAUGACUGAAGAGACAUGGAUGGUGGAGUGACAGAAGUUAGAAAGCUUUUCUCUAUCUCAAUAUUGAUAUUUGCAGUUCCACUUAGUUGUGCUAUUGGAUGAUUUAUAUGUCGUACUUUCAAAGUUGCUGAUAAAUAAAUAGCUCAGUCGAUG